GUGAAUUCUAGUGUGAAACAGAUACAAUUGGAAAAUCGAAAUAAUGUUGAUGGAAUUUAAUCAGCAUAUCAUUGGGAAUACCUCAAUCUAUACCUCAUGAGAGAUCACCAUCCUACCAUCUAAAAGCCUUCGGUCCUUCAGAGGAAGCUCAUACAUGAUGAGGAGACAGGGGAAAACAGAAUAAAAGACUUGCCCAGGAUCACAUGGCUGAAGCUCAAUUUGAACUCACAUCUCCCUGACUCCAGACCAGUGAUAUCCUAAAAAAAUUCCAGCAUAUACAACAACCACAAGAGAGGA
rnacentral:lncRNA from 1 species